rnacentral:rRNA from 1 species
CAGUAGCCGCGGUAAUACAGAGGGUGCGAGCGUUAAUCGGAUUUACUGGGCGUAAAGCGUGCGUAGGCGGCUUCUUAAGUCGGAUGUGAAAUCCCUGAGCUUAACUUAGGAAUUGCAUUCGAUACUGGGAAGCUAGAGUAUGGGAGAGGAUGGUAGAAUUCCGGGUGUAGCGGUGAAAUGCGUAGAGAUCUGGAGGAAUACCGAUGGCGAAGGCAGCCAUCUGGCCUAAUACUGACGCUGAGGUACGAAAGCAUGGGGAGCAAACAGGAUUAGAUACCCCGGUAGUCCCUGUCUCUUAUAC